CGAACGCGUUGGCCAAAUUGAUUGAUGGUGCUUGCACCUGAUUGAUUUUGGUCGCCAACGAGUGGCGGACGGGUGAGUAACACGUAGGUAACCUGCCCAGAAGCGGGGGACAACAUUUGGAAACAGAUGCUAAUACCGCAUAACAACGUUGUUCGCAUGAACAACGCUUAAAAGAUGGCUUCUCGCUAUCACUUCUGGAUGGACCUGCGGUGCAUUAGCUUGUUGGUGGGGUAAUGGCCUACCAAGGCGAUGAUGCAUAGCCGAGUUGAGAGACUGAUCGGCCACAAUGGGACUGAGACACGGCCCAUACUCCUACGGGAGGCAGCAGUAGGGAAUCUUCCACAAUGGGCGCAAGCCUGAUGGAGCAACACCGCGUGAGUGAAGAAGGGUUUCGGCUCGUAAAGCUCUGUUGUUAAAGAAGAACACGUAUGAGAGUAACUGUUCAUACGUUGACGGUAUUUAACCAGAAAGUCACGGCUAACUACGUGCCAGCAGCCGCGGUAAUACGUAGGUGGCAAGCGUUAUCCGGAUUUAUUGGGCGUAAAGAGAGUGCAGGCGGUUUUCUAAGUCUGAUGUGAAAGCCUUCGGCUUAACCGGAGAAGUGCAUCGGAAACUGGAUAACUUGAGUGCAGAAGAGGGUAGUGGAACUCCAUGUGUAGCGGUGGAAUGCGUAGAUAUAUGGAAGAACACCAGUGGCGAAGGCGGCUACCUGGUCUGCAACUGACGCUGAGACUCGAAAGCAUGGGUAGCGAACAGGAUUAGAUACCCUGGUAGUCCAUGCCGUAAACGAUGAGUGCUAGGUGUUGGAGGGUUUCCGCCCUUCAGUGCCGGAGCUAACGCAUUAAGCACUCCGCCUGGGGAGUACGACCGCAAGGUUGAAACUCAAAGGAAUUGACGGGGGCCCGCACAAGCGGUGGAGCAUGUGGUUUAAUUCGAAGCUACGCGAAGAACCUUACCAGGUCUUGACAUCUGGCGCCAACCCUAGAGA
rnacentral:rRNA from 2 species